GGGAUGGGGUAUCUGUUUCAUUUAAUUGGAACUGGAAGAGGGAUCAUGACGUCCUUUAUGCCCUUCCCCGAGCAGGGGAGGGAUGCUGGGAUCGCACUCCUGUACUGGUCACCCCUAUUACCACGCAUCACAUUGAUUUGAGUUUACUUCCCUAAAGAGUUUGGAUGGAUGCAUUCAGGUCAGAGCUGCAGCUCUGCAGCCCUCCGAUGUUAGAGUGAUUUAUCCAUGACUAAUCUCUCCAUUCAAAAGCGUGCAGUCUUAAUGUACAGUGAUGAGAAACUGUUAUUUUAUGAUCUUUUCAUUAAAAGCUUGAUUG
rnacentral:lncRNA from 1 species